GUGUUAUAUUACUACAUUAAGCUCUACUUAAAUAAUCAUCGUUUCCCUGUUUCAAUCACUGUAAAUAAAUCCAUUAAAUAAAUAAAGUCAUUAUAUAAGAUUUCGUAUUACUUAAUAUUAUUUAACACUGAAUAAGUUUAGUUAUUUUCAGGUAUUUGAAAUCAAAAUUUUCGGACAUUUAGGAUUACGAUUCUAAGGUAUAUUUAACAUCUAAAUAUUCAUU